rnacentral:snoRNA from 1 species
GAGAGAUGAUGAAUGCACAUUGGUCCGUGUUUCUGAAAAUUUGUGAUUGAUAAUAUCUGUGUUAUGCUGUCUGAUCUC